CAGUCGCCGCGGUAAUACGUAGGUGGCAAGCGUUGUCCGGAAUUAUUGGGCGUAAAGUGCGCGCAGGUGGUUUAAUAAGUCUGAUGUGAAAGCCCACGGCUCAACCGUGGAGGGUCAUUGGAAACUGUUAAACUUGAGUGCAGGAGAGAAAAGUGGAAUUCCUAGUGUAGCGGUGAAAUGCGUAGAGAUUAGGAGGAACACCAGUGGCGAAGGCGGCUUUUUGGCCUGUAACUGACACUGAGGCGCGAAAGCGUGGGGAGCAAACAGGAUUAGAUACCCCUGUAGUCCCUGUCUCUUAUAC
rnacentral:rRNA from 1 species